ensembl:lncRNA
AUGGACUGCACCCUGCAUAGAAGCCUUGUCUAUUUAGGAGGAAGAAUAUAUUGUGCCCAAGGCAAAGCAUUUACACACAAAAGAGGGUUGAAGACAGAGAGAAGGACAGAAUUUCACAGUACUUUACAAGACUGCCUGUUGAAGAAAACUUGGCUCCUUAUUACACAAAUUCAAGCAGGUGCAGGAGGCUAUCAAUGACCACUGGAAACAAAGACGGCCCGAAAUGUGAACUUGCUUUCACCUCUUAUUAUUCUACAGCAAUAUCAAAGGUUAAUGUGCAAAAUAAUUUAGGUCACCAUGAUUUGAAACCAGUAGACCAUGGAAGCUUCUUUCAGUGCCAGUCCAGUCUUACAAGCAACGUUUCAGAGCAUUUGCAUAGCUGCGACUAGAGCAAUUCCAUAUUGGAUAUUACUAUUUUUGCAACAGACCACUGCCACAAAUAAUUAAAAAGAAUACUACCUUGCCCAAGAUUAUCCAUUUAUUCAAAGAAUUCAGGCUUACAUAUCCUACACCUCAAUGCAAUACUGGCCUCCUUCCUUCUUUUCCCCAUAGAAAUAUAAAACCUAGUUGGUGCAGGGAAGAUUGUGGGUUUUUUUAUGGCUAUGGGUGGCUUGUGUACAUUCUUAGCACUGUACAAAUAAAACUACUGCUGCAAUAUGACUAUAUUAUAAU